rnacentral:rRNA from 1 species
UGGAUUAGGCAUGCAAGUCGAGCGAGAAGGGUUUUGAAGCUUGCUUUAGAACCCGGACAGCGGCGAAAGGGAGAGUAACGCGUAGUUAUGUGCCCUAGGGUCCGGAAUAGCCACGGGAAACUGUGGGUAAUGCCGGAUAACAUCCCCGGAUCAAAGGUGUGAUUCCGCCCUAGGAGCAGACUGCGUCCUACUAGCUAGUUGGUGGGGUAAUGGCCCACCAAGGCAAUGAUGGGUAGCGGGUGUGAGAGCAUGACCCGUCUCACUGGGACUGAGACACUGCCCAGACACCUACGGGUGGCUGCAGUCGAGAAUCUUCGGCAAUGGGCGAAAGCCUGACCGAGCGAUGCCGCGUGCGGGAUGAAGGCCCUCGGGUUGUAAACCGCUGUCGUAGGGGAGGAAAUUCUAGUGGGUUCACCCAUUAGAUUGACCGAUCCCUGGAGGAAGGGCCGGCUAAUCUCGUGCCAGCAGCCGCGGUA